AAUUUUUACAGUGAAGAGUUUGAUCCUGGCUCAGGAUGAACGCUAGCUACAGGCUUAACACAUGCAAGUCGAGGGGCAG
rnacentral:rRNA from 1 species